GAUGAACGCUGGCGGCGUGCCUAAUACAUGCAAGUCGAGCGAACAGACGAGGAGCUUGCUCCUCUGACGUUAGCGGCGGACGGGUGAGUAACACGUGGAUAACCUACCUAUAAGACUGGGAUAACUUCGGGAAACCGGAGCUAAUACCGGAUAAUAUAUUGAACCGCAUGGUUCAAUAGUGAAAGACGGUUUUGCUGUCACUUAUAGAUGGAUCCGCGCCGCAUUAGCUAGUUGGUAAGGUAACGGCUUACCAAGGCAACGAUGCGUAGCCGACCUGAGAGGGUGAUCGGCCACACUGGAACUGAGACACGGUCCAGACUCCUACGGGAGGCAGCAGUAGGGAAUCUUCCGCAAUGGGCGAAAGCCUGACGGAGCAACGCCGCGUGAGUGAUGAAGGUCUUCGGAUCGUAAAACACUGUUAUUAGGGAAGAACAAAUGUGUAAGUAACUAUGCACGUCUUGACGGUACCUAAUCAGAAAGCCACGGCUAACUACGUG
rnacentral:rRNA from 1 species